CAUGGCGUGGCUUCAGGGUCUCCCAGAGUCCUUCCCGUGUAGGAUGCAGCCAGGAGAAGUCACAGAGGGUGGCCUGGCAAGGUGGACGGCUCUCAGCAGUGCGCUCUCCAAGCACACUUUCUCGCCAUGACACCGGAAGAGCCCGCCUACUUUGGCCCACGUGAUUGGACAGUUCCUACACCCCGCCUCUUGAUCGCUGAUUGGCUCCUGCUCCAUGGCUCUCGCUUUGAGGCAACAGUGAGAAGAGAAACCCCUGCGUGCAUGGACAGAGUUCAAAUGGUAGAUUGCAACCCAGGAAUUUCUGGACCAGGCUCUUUCCCACAAUGUCAACCUCACCUCGCCUAAAAAUAAUUGUAUUUAAGCAGUGGCGUCAUCAGACGGUGCAGGCAGCAAACACGUGUAAGACUUGCAAGAUUUGUUGAAAUGCCAUGUAGUGCGCUGUGCCUGUAGGGCUGGUACUGCAGGUGGUAAAAAGAAUUUACCAAUAAUCAAAGAAUAUAGAAAAAGAAGAACUGAUAUACCGCAAGAGAGCAACAGGGUACAAUGAGAGACCAGUGAGGUUCGCUACAUCUGGCGCCUGAACUGGACACCGGGUGAGAGAUAAUGUGCCUAAAAGCAGCCAGAAGUAACCAUGCCACCGCCUGAAAUUGGAUCUCCUUGAAGUUUCUUGCAGAAGAUGUGGCAUUACCAGGAACCACACAGCUGCAGCAGGUCAACAGACAAAACUGGAUACAACCCAGCCCAAAGACAGCUUCUGGCUUCAGAAAGAAAAUGCUGAUCUUUUACUAUUAAGCGAUUUCCCUGAUUUUUUUUUUUGGGGGGGUAUUGUUGUUGUAAACCCCUAGUACAAAAUUGUGUGAUGGCUUUGGAUCCCAGGCAGAGGCCAAGUACCAUAUUCAUUAUGUCUGUAUAUAUUACUCUGUAUUUUCAUUGCUACACACAAGAGGAAACAAGACACUUGCUCCCAUGCACACUAUUUUACGGAUUACUGCAAACUCCUACACUUUGAAAGAAGAGUUUGAAACUGCAGAUUUAGGCCACUGAAGAGAUGUGAAAUCACCAGGUUCCUGCUGAACAUUUAUCUUUUUAGAAAGAGGACGCUGAAGUCAAGAAUCUCAGGCCAAAUAAAUGGAUUUGACAUUGUUUUGUUGGGUUUCUGGGUCAUAGGAUCUCUGAAUCAGUUUCAAAUUGAAGACAUCAGGUCCAUUAAAAAACAGGGUUUGAUUACAGCUGAUUGUAAUCCUCUCAGGUUCUUUCAGUGCAACAGUUCAACCUGUGAUCUACAACAGAAAACAAAUGUCCUUCUACAGGCAGAUUUGGGAGAAGGGGAACUCUGAGCCCCAGUCGUGGAAUGGGAGCUGGAAGCCCAGGAAGGAAUUUGGUAGACACCUGCCAAAGGCUUCCUUAAUAUGAAGACUAGUUGGUAACUUUUAUGUUUAUGUUGGUUUGUUAAUGAUGGACAACUGCAUUUAAAAAUACAUUCCUCUUACCUCUUUUUUUAAAUCAGGCAAGAUUACCUGAAUAAAUCACACAUGUGUCUUAAGAAUUUACUUCAAUGUUAUCCACACAAACCCUUCACUUACUACCUCCUCCAUACAAACAGGCUGAUUAACUUCAUAAUACAAUAAAGAUUUUUACCAGAGUUGAGGUUUAAGAACAAUGGAUUUCCUUGUUUUGGAGACCAAAAUGCGAGUUUCUCCUCUCAUGCUUUUGAGUGCUGUCUCCUGCCAAAAACACCAAUUUCUGCUACAAAAAUGGAAACAGGCUGUAGUUGCAUGCCCCUUUCAAACUAUGCACAUCAGACUCUGUUUGCUACCAGCUUUUGGAAUGAAGGCUGAACUCAAUCCUUAUAAUGUACCCGGAUGAUGAGAACUGUGACAAAGAACUGCAAUUUUAGAUUUUCUCGAAAGGCCUCACUAGUAUUAAGAGUCUUAAAGUAAAUACUUGGUGGAAAGCAACAAAAUAGUUAUGAAAGAGUAAAUAUGAAGACAUAAAGUAUAAUCUGAGGAAGCAUACAAUGGGGAGCUUUACUCUAGCUACAUAAUUCACUCAUCCUAAUAGCAUUACUAGCAAUGUCAGGAUAUAAAAAAAUUCAAUGACAAAAUAAAAACUAAGUAAUCCAAUUUAAAAAUUGUCAAAAUAUAUAGACAGGCA